AAGUCGUAACAAGGUUUCCGUAGGUGAACCUGCGGAAGGAUCAUUAACACGUAUCCAACGUAAAAAACCCCCCUGUGAACAUUCAAACCUGCUCUCGUAGCCCAGUGCGAUCCAGCAAUCCCGGUAAAUCAUUGUCGAACAGUAUUGAUUCGGGACUUCUGACAAAUGAGAAGUUACAGUUACGAUUGAGCGGAGAUAGCUGCAUGGCAUCCCGAAGCAGUCAGUGUCUGAAAGUGUCAUUGAUUGUCUAAGGAUCUCGCCUCAACGAUUGCCAGAGGUCGCUCACCGACCGGCAGACAUGCACCUUUACAACCCCAUUACCUCUGUGAGUCGCGGGAAACUAGCGCUAAAAAACCUCGAACAACUGUUAACAAUGGAUAUCUUGGUUCUC
rnacentral:misc_RNA from 1 species